UGUGAACAUACCUACUGUUGCUUCGGCGGGAUUGCCCCGGGCGCCUCGUGUGCCCCGGAUCAGGCGCCCGCCUAGGAAACUUAACUCUUGUUUUAUUUUGGAAUCUUCUGAGUAGUUUUUACAAAUAAAUAAAAACUUUCAACAACGGAUCUCUUGGUUCUGGCAUCGAUGAAGAACGCAGCGAAAUGCGAUAAGUAAUGUGAAUUGCAGAAUUCAGUGAAUCAUCGAAUCUUUGAACGCACAUUGCGCCCGCCAGUAUUCUGGCGGGCAUGCCUGUCUGAGCGUCAUUUCAACCCUCAUGCCCCUAGGGCGUGGUGUUGGGGAUCGGCCAAAGCCCGCGAGGGACGGCCGGCCCCUAAAUCUAGUGGCGGACCCGUCGUGGCCUCCUCUGCGAAGUAGUGAUAUUCCGCAUCGGAGAGCGACGAGCCCCUGCCGUUAAACCCCCAACUUUCCAAGGUUGACCUCAGAUCAGGUAGGAAUACCCGCUGAACUUAAGCAUAUCAAU
rnacentral:rRNA from 1 species